GACGAACGCUGGCGGCGUGCUUAACACAUGCAAGUCGAGCGGUAAGGCCUUUCGGGGUACACGAGCGGCGAACGGGUGAGUAACACGUGGGUGACCUGCCCUCCACUUCGGGAUAAGCCUGGGAAACUGGGUCUAAUACCGGAUAGGACCUCUGGAUGCAUGUCUGGGGGUGGAAAGUUUUGUCGGUGGGGGAUGGGCCCGCGGUCUAUCAGCUUGUUGGUGGGGUGAUGGCUUACCAAGGCGACGACGGAUAGCCGGCCUGAGAGGGUGAUCGGCCACACUGGGACUGAGACACGGCCCAGACUCCUACGGGAGGCAGCAGUGGGGAAUCUUGCGCAAUGGGCGGAAGCCUGACGCAGCAACGCCGCGUGGGGAUGACGGCCUC
rnacentral:rRNA from 1 species